rnacentral:rRNA from 1 species
GACGAACGCUGGCGGCGUGCUUAACACAUGCAAGUCGAACGGAAAGGCCCUGCUUUUGUGGGGUGCUCGAGUGGCGAACGGGUGAGUAACACGUGAGUAACCUGCCCUUGACUUUGGGAUAACUUCAGGAAACUGGGGCUAAUACCGGAUAGGAGCUCCUGCUGCAUGGUGGGGGUUGGAAAGUUUCGGCGGUUGGGGAUGGACUCGCGGCUUAUCAGCUUGUUGGUGGGGUAGUGGCUUACCAAGGCUUUGACGGGUAGCCGGCCUGAGAGGGUGACCGGCGACAUUGGGACUGAGAUACGGCCCAGACUCCUACGGGAGGCAGCAGUGGGGAAUAUUGCACAAUGGGCGGAAGCCUGAUGCAGCAAAGCCGCGUGCGGGAUGACGGCCUUCGGGUUGUAAACCGCUUUCGACUGUGACGAAGCGUGAGUGACGGUAAUGGGUAAAGAAGCACCGGCUAACUACGUG